AAUCCAAGAAUUUCACCUCUGACAGUUAAAUACGAAUGCCCCCAACUAUCCCUAUCAAUCAUUACCUCAGCUCUAGAAACCAACAAAAUAGAACCGAGGUCCUAUCUUAUUAUUCCAUGCUAAUGUAUUCAAGGCGUGCGCUUGCUUGAAACACUCUAAUUUCCUCAAAGUAAAUGUCCUAAAUACCGCACCACACAGUCAAGUGCAGCUACGUUCUUCAGGAAGAUGCCAAGGCUGAGCCAGAUGCCUGUCCAGAGGACGGACCGGUCAUCCUCAGCAGAAAUCCAACUACGAGCUUUUUAACCGCAACAACUUUAAUAUACGCUAUUGGAGCUGGAAUUACCGC
rnacentral:misc_RNA from 1 species